ensembl:lncRNA
CCCCACAGUAGAAGCACUGUCCCUCCCUUAAAUGGCGCUGCUUAUCCUCCUGGGUGAGCAGAGUAGCUGCAUAGGUUCAUCUCCGCUGGCAGGAGGAGAAAAACGGCACUGAUCUGGUGACGAUCGGCCGGGAGCUGUGGGUGAUCUGGCGACUGCUCCCUGGAGAGCCCUAAAUUCCCGAAGACGGUUAUCUGUUCGGAUAGUGAGAGCGAUGAGGGAGUCCAGGUCCGGAGGCACUUCCAGGGGCAGCAGUCGCUCUUGGAUGGACGCAGCCAACCCUUUCAGGAAGAAGUCGUAAAGCGCCAUGGAAUUCCAACCACUCUGCACCGCCAAGGUCCGGAAGCGAAUGGCGUAAUCACAAACAGAUUCUCGUUCUCGUUUCAGCACACUCAGCUCUCUUGCCCUUUCUCGCUCUGUUGAGACUGGGUUGAAAGUCUUUCGGAGACCCUCCAUAAAAUCCUGGAUGGAAUUGCAGAGUGAGGAUCCGCUUUUCCACUCCGCCACGGCCCACACCCUUCCAGCACAGCAUGUGGAGCCCCUGAAGGCCGUGCUGGGCCGACUGAAGCAAGAGUGCCUCAAAGCCAAGUUGGAAAAGUGCACCUUCUUCAAACCAGAGGUGAACUACUUGGGCUACAUCAUAUGUAGGGAUGAUGUGUCCACAGACCCUGGCAAGAUAAAAAAUAAAAGUCUCCACCCGCGGGUCCGAGUUGCAGUCCUUUCUAGGAUUUGCAAGUUACUACUGCCGUUUUGUAGAGGGAUUUGCCAAACUUGCUGAUCCACUGCAUCGCCUCGUUGCCGAAUUGACUGGCACAAAAUCAUGGAAAUCAUCGGAAAAAAGUAUCGUUGCUGCGUGGACAGAGGAAUGUGAGCAGAGCUUUUGGAGCCUUAAAAGUAGGUUGAUUGCUUUGCAGUAGGUAUAGCAUUGAGAAAAGCCACACCACUCCCUACCAUACAGCUGGUAAUGGCCAAUGCAAGUGGUUUAACUGUACCCUACACAACCUCCUGGGCACUCUGCUCGUCACCAAGAAGACGGAUUGGUCAUGUUACCUCCCACAAGUGACUUUUUCUAUAAUAUCACAGCACUGGUUACUCUCCAUUUUUCUUUAUGUUUGGUC